rnacentral:rRNA from 1 species
GUAGGGAAUUUUGCGCAAUGGGGGAAACCCUGACGCAGCAACACCGCGUGAAUGUUAAGCCCUUCGGGGUGUAAAGUUCUGUCAAUAGGGACGAAUUUUGACUGUACCUAUAAAGGAAGCACCGGCUAACUCCGUGCCAGCAGCCGCGGUAAUACGGGGGGUGCAAGCGUUGUCCGGAAUCAUUGGGCGUAAAGCGUUCGUAGGCGGUAUGUCAAGUCUGAUGUUAAAGCCCGGGGCUCAACUCCGGUUCGGCAUUGGAUACUGGCAAACUAGAAUGUGGUAGAGGUAAAGGGAAUUCCUGGUGUAGCGGUGAAAUGCGUAGAUAUCAGGAGGAACAUCGGUGGCGAAAGCGCUUUACUGGACCAUUAUUGACGCUGAGGAACGAAAGCCAGGGGAGCAAAUGGGA